rnacentral:lncRNA from 1 species
UUAUUUGAAAAGUAAGACAUUUUGCAUUAAUUUAAAGCAUCAUUUUCAUUCAAAUUUGUCCAUUCAUUCAUACAAAACCGUUUACAAACACAUACAAAGAAAAUUAUAAAAAAAAUGCUUCUUUGAACAAAGGUUGACUUUGGCUAACAAUUGACUUUUUGGUCAACUUUGACCAAAGUCAACCAUUUAAGACUUAAGACCUAACUCUAACUUCUUCAUCCAUCAUCCUCAUGAUCAUGUGCUUUUAAGCUUCAUGCCAAUUUUCUUCCAUGCCAUGCCACUUUCUCUUUGCACAUGAAUACCUUAAAAGGGCAAAACAAAGCCAUAAGUAUUGUCUUCAAGUUUAAAACAUGACUUUCCAAGGCAACCAUGACAUGUCAUUCAAUGGCAAUGUAAUAUCAACACCAUUGAUUUAGUAGUAGUAACAUUGACAUAGCUUAACAUUUUAACAAACUCAUAACAUUCAUUUCAUAACCAUCCUUGAAUUUGCUACCACUAACUUUUUCUUAACAUGAACAAACCAUUUCCAAUUUAUAACUAUGCAUGGACCAAAGCAAAUCGAAACUAACAAUUAAUCAUAAUUUCAGUUUUCAUAAUAAUGCAUUCAUCAACCAUUCCAAAACAUGACAAGUGCACCAAAACUAGGAACCAAAAGACUUCAAAAUCGCAAAUAAAGUUUCUAUGUGAUUACCUUACCACUAAGCUUGGGGAUUUUUUUGCCUUCUACUAUUGCUGCCCCUUUCAACAUAAUGUAUAUCCGUGGACUUCAUCAUUCAACAAUGUAUGAAUCACUAGUUCCAUGACCUACUGUCAGAAUCAAACAGAGAAAGCAAUUUAGCAUGAUCAUUACCAUCAUUUUCAUAGAAUUUUAGUCAUGACAAGAAUCAUGUUAGGGUUUCUAAUUUGCUAGCAGCAUUUAACAAGAACAACAGUUAAUUCGGUAUCUCAAUGCAGAGCUAAACCAACUCACUUCAGACCCAUAACAAAGUCAAUUAAUCACCAAAAACUAACUUCUAAUUUAACUAAUUCUGAGUUACAUGUCAACCUACCUACUAACCAAUUAACCAAUACCUACUGGAGUUCCACAUAACUGACAUAUUGACCUACAAAUAAACUAAUAUUAAUCAGUUUUCUAAUUGAACUAACAAGCUCAAACACUAACCCUACAGAACCAAUGGAUGAAAUAUAACAGAAAAUUCAAAAGAUUUCCAACGACACAUUCAUGUAACAAGGCUCAUUGCAGCUCACCAUUAGUUAACCUGGGUGUAGCGAUACAUAAUCUUUUCAUCCUAACCUAAACUAACUUAUUCCAAUUGCAAAUAACAGAAAUCCUGAAUUUAUAACUAACAUUACAUUUCAUGUGAAUUUCAUCUAAAUUUCUGACAUGCUUGGGGCUCUAUAUAAGCGUACCUUCACUGUAAUUUUGGGAGGGGAUUCAUUAUUCAGAUUUCAUUUCAAACUCUUCCAAAAGCUCUGAGAGUUCUGAUUCGUUCUUCACUCUCACUUUUCAUUCAUACAAGCAAAUUGAAUCUUCAGUCUUCUUGGAUUCAUACAUUCACACGCAGAAUCCUCUUCAUACAGGCACCAGAAACACACGAAUCACGUCACAUCAAAGGGAGAUCGAAGAAGAUUCAAGAAGAAGGAAUCGAAGACGAAUGAUUACCUCGUGGAGCACCGAGAAGCCGCUGUGCUUGAACGCUGCUUCGGUACACUUUAACCUUAUUGAAUUUAUCUCCUACUUGCAUUUCGUUUUGAGUUGGUGAUGGCGUGUUUGAGUUUUGGCGGAUUCUUCACGGCGUGUUCGGAAUUUGAGAUCUGAGCUUCAAUUCAGAUUCACGUAUUCGUUGCAACCUUCAACGAUUUGGAAAACUCAGGAGUAUGUUCUUUGAUUUGGAGUUUCAUAACUUGAAUCCAGAAUGCGAAGGAGAAUGAAGAACGCGAUGCUGAAUAUUGGAACGUGAUACUGACUUUUUCAUAUGAGCGCCUUUGUUCUUCAGCUUGGUGAACUUUCCCAUUUUGUAGCUUGGAUUAGGUUUGGUCCUAAGGCUUAAACGAUUUGUUCUAUGCACACACUUGCCAUGGACCUACAACUCCCUAGAGCGACCGCGCUUGGCUGGACAUGUGGCCCAUUCUGAAUCCCUCAUGGAACCCCUUUUUUGGCAACUGUUCAGCGCUUGGGCUUUGAGCUCCAGGCCCAAACGUUUUUGCUGGCUAACACCCACAUUCCAAACGCAU